rnacentral:rRNA from 1 species
GACGAACGCUGGCGGCGUGCUUAACACAUGCAAGUCGAACGGAAAGGCCCUGCUUUUGUGGGGUGCUCGAGUGGCGAACGGGUGAGUAACACGUGAGUAACCUGCCCUUGACUCUGGGAUAACUCUAGGAAACUGGGUCUAAUACCGGAUAGGACCUUUCUCCUCAUGGGGGGGGGUGGAAAGUUUCGCGGUUCGGGAUGGGCCCGCGGCCUAUCAGCUUGUUGGUGGGGUUAUGGCCUACCAAGGCUGUGACGGGUAGCCGGCCUGAGAGGGUGACCGGCCACAUUGGGACUGAGAUACGGCCCAGACUCCUACGGGAGGCAGCAGUGGGGAAUAUUGCACAAUGGGCGGAAGCCUGAUGCAGCAACGCCGCGUGCGGGAUGACGGCCUUCGGGUUGUAAACCUCUUUCGCCUGUGACGAAGCGUAAGUGACGGUACUGGCUAAAGAAGCACCGGCUAACUACGUG